GAUGAACGCUGGCGGCGUGCCUAAUACAUGCAAGUCGAGCGAACAGACGAGGAGCUUGCUCCUCUGAUGUUAGCGGCGGACGGGUGAGUAACACGUGGAUAACCUACCUAUAAGACUGGGAUAACUUCGGGAAACCGGAGCUAAUACCGGAUAAUAUAUUGAACCGCAUGGUUCAAUAGUGAAAGACGGUUUUGCUGUCACUUAUAGAUGGAUCCGCGCCGCAUUAGCUAGUUGGUAAGGUAACGGCUUACCAAGGCAACGAUGCAUAGCCGACCUGAGAGGGUGAUCGGCCACACUGGAACUGAGACACGGUCCAGACUCCUACGGGAGGCAGCAGUAGGGAAUCUUCCGCAAUGGGCGAAAGCCUGACGGAGCAACGCCGCGUGAGUGAUGAAGGUCUUCGGAUCGUAAAACUCUGUUAUUAGGGAAGAACAAAUGUGUAAGUAACUAUGCACGUCUUGACGGUACCUAAUCAGAAAGCCACGGCUAACUACGUG
rnacentral:rRNA from 1 species